rnacentral:rRNA from 1 species
CACGCCGUAAACGUUGGGCGCUAGGUGUGGGACUCAUUCCACGAGUUCCGUGCCGCAGCUAACGCAUUAAGCGCCCCGCCUGGGGAGUACGGCCGCAAGGCUAAAACUCAAAGGAAUUGACGGGGGCCCGCACAAGCGGCGGAGCAUGUGGAUUAAUUCGAUGCAACGCGAAGAACCUUACCAAGGCUUGACAUAUACCGGAAACACCUAGAGAUAGGUGCCCCGCAAGGUCGGUAUACAGGUGG